rnacentral:rRNA from 1 species
CCCUUAGAGUUUGAUCCUGGCUCAAGACGAACGCUGGCGGCGCGCCUAACACAUGCAAGUCGAACGAGCGAGAGAGAGCUUGCUUUCUUGAGCGAGUGGCGAACGGGUGAGUAACGCGUGAGGAACCUGCCUCAAAGAGGGGGACAACAGUUGGAGACGACUGCUAAUACCGCAUAAGCCCACAGCUCGACAUCGAGCAGAGGGAAAAGGAGCAAUCCGCUUUGAGAUGGCCUCGCGUCCGAUUAGCUAGUUGGUGAGGUAACGGCCCACCAAGGCGACGAUCGGUAGCCGGACUGAGAGGUUGAACGGCCACAUUGGGACUGAGACACGGCCCAGACUCCUACGGGAGGCAGCAGUGGGGAAUAUUGCACAAUGGGGGAAACCCUGAUGCAGCGACGCCGCGUGGAGGAAGAAGGUCUUCGGAUUGUAAACUCCUGUUGUUGAGGAAGAUAAUGACGGUACUCAACAAGGAAGUGACGGCUAACUACGUGCCAGCAGCCGCGGUAAAACGUAGGUCACAAGCGUUGUCCGGAAUUACUGGGUGUAAAGGGAGCGCAGGCGGGAAGACAAGUUGGAAGUGAAAUCCAUGGGCUCAACCCAUGAACUGCUUUCAAAACUGUUUUUCUUGAGUAGUGCAGAGGUAGGCGGAAUUCCCGGUGUAGCGGUGGAAUGCGUAGAUAUCGGGAGGAACACCAGUGGCGAAGGCGGCCUACUGGGCACCAACUGACGCUGAGGCUCGAAAGUGUGGGUAGCAAACAGGAUUAGAUACCCUGGUAGUCCACACUGUAAACGAUGAUUACUAGGUGUUGGAGGAUUGACCCCUUCAGUGCCGCAGUUAACACAAUAAGUAAUCCACCUGGGGAGUACGACCGCAAGGUUGAAACUCAAAGGAAUUGACGGGGGCCCGCACAAGCAGUGGAGUAUGUGGUUUAAUUCGACGCAACGCGAAGAACCUUACCAAGUCUUGACAUCCUGCGACGGUGCUGGAAACAGUACUUUCCUUCGGGACGCAGAGACAGGUGGUGCAUGGUUGUCGUCAGCUCGUGUCGUGAGAUGUUGGGUUAAGUCCCGCAACGAGCGCAACCCUUAUGGUCAGUUACUACGCAAGAGGACUCUGGCCAGACUGCCGUUGACAAAACGGAGGAAGGUGGGGAUGACGUCAAAUCAUCAUGCCCUUUAUGACUUGGGCUACACACGUACUACAAUGGCGUUAAACAAAGAGAAGCAAGACCGCGAGGUGGAGCAAAACUCAGAAACAACGUCCCAGUUCGGACUGCAGGCUGCAACUCGCCUGCACGAAGUCGGAAUUGCUAGUAAUCGCAGAUCAGCAUGCUGCGGUGAAUACGUUCCCGGGCCUUGCACU